GAGGAGGGGCGCGCUGUGCU
rnacentral:miRNA from 1 species